AUGGGGCCCAGCCUUCUGCAGUGUGUGGCGCUUUGCCUCCUGGGAGCAGGCUGCCUGCAGGGUACCACGGUCACCCAGAACCCAAGAUUCCAGGUGGUCAGAACCGGCCAACCAGUGAACCUGAGCUGUUCUCAGACCCUGAGCCACGGCAUCAUGUACUGGUACCAGCAGAAGCCGGGCCAGGCGCCGGUGCUGCUGCUCUAUUACUAUGACCAAUACUUAACCAAGGAAAAAGGAACCCCCGACAACUUCCAGGCCAGCCGGCCUGCCCUGCCUGAAUGUCUCCUCCACCUGGGCUCGCCGGCCGUGGGGGACUCAGCCCUGUAUCUCUGUGCCAGCAGCAGAGUAAUGGAGGCCCUGAGAGGGAAGACCCAGUACGACAAGGCCUCGAACCAAAGCUACGUGGACACAGCUAUGUUUACUGGUAUCAACAGCUGCCGGGGGAAGAUCCAAAGCCUGGUGUUGGGUGGCAUCACUCAGACCCCCAAAUACCUGCUGCAAAAAGAAGGACUGGCUGUGACCCUGCAGUGCGAACAGAAUUUGAACCACGAUGCCAUGUUCUGGUACCGCCAGGACCUGGGGCGCCUCUUCUACUCAUCCGUCAGCAAGAACGUUCAGAAGGUGGAGUUGUCUGAGGGCUACAACGCCUCUCGGGACCAGAAGCCGGCCUUCCUGCUCAUAGCCAUCAGCUAG